rnacentral:rRNA from 1 species
UACGUAGGGGGCUAGCGUUGUCCGGAAUCAUUGGGCGUAAAGCGCGUGUAGGCGGUCCGGUAAGUCCGCUGUGAAAGUCGAGGGCUCAAACCCUCGAAUGCCGGUGGAUACUGUCGGGCUUGAGUACGGGAGAGGCGAGUGGAAUUCCUGGUGUAGCGGUGAAAAUGCGCAGAUAUCAGGAGGAACACCGAUUGCGAAAGGCAGCUCGCUGGAACGUUACUGACGCUGAGACGCGAAAGCGUGGGGGAGCAAAACAGG